AAACCGACGGAUUAGCUCUAUUUGUGGGGCACCCUUAUGAUUUGAAAUGAUUCGUUUCAGUCUUUUUGAAAGGAUUUCCCCAAACCGGAAGUGCCACCCAUAAUUCAAAAUGCAGUAGGCUCGUCAGGAAUAAGGUGGGGCAGUGUUUAGCGAAGAGUCACGUACGUUGAGCUUCUGUGAAGCGUUGGGUCACGUUUCCAUGUCCACUGUAGAUCCGCAUGUCCAGGGAGCGUGAGGAACUCGUCGGAAUUUGCCUAAUGACCCAGAGGUGUUAGACUGAGCUUCCUGUCUGACCAUCAGAGCCAAACAAGAUGAGUUGACUGUACAGGAAAUGAACACACAGCGUGACGAGGUCAUAAGAUAGGAAUACCUGCUCAAGAAGGCCCAACUGCAAAGCCCCACCACAGAGACGUCUUCCAAUCACACAUGUGACAGCAGUGCUUACAUCAGCGCAGCGAGGUGAGGAGGGUCAUUAUUAUCACAUUAUUCUCAUCCCCUCAUCACCAGUCAGUCAUCCGUCGCUCCGCUCUGUCUCUGAUCUACUGGGAGUCCUGGCAUAGAUCUACACAUCAUCCAGUGCACUGGCCCUCGUCCCCGGAGAACAUUUGGAGAACAGAAGAACAAGCACAGCCAGGCGCAGAGGGACACAUUAGAUGCACACACUGAAUGGGCCGCUGUCUUCCCCUCACAUCCUUCCUUUCAUUGUGCCAUUUACCUCGACAGAGUCUUCUCAUCUUCUUCAAGGUGUCUUUGAGACGGCCUCUGUUAAAACGACCAGAUGAGCAGUUUGAUUUGCAGUCUGCAGAUGCAGGGCAUAAAUAUGAUGCUUUGUGGACAAGAGCAUCUGCUUAAUGCCUUGAAUGUAAAAUUAAAUAAAAAACUUACUAAGCACAACCGAACAGACUGACAUGCAGGUUUGUGUAUUAUUAUGUU